rnacentral:misc_RNA from 1 species
UCCGGUUCCUCACCGGCAGUCUCCUUUGAGUCCCCAACUUAAUGCUGGCAACUAAGGACAAGGGUUGCGCUCGUUACGGGACUUAACCCAACAUCUCACAACACGAGCUGACGACAGCCAUGCAGCACCUGUCUCUGCGUUCCUUUUGGCACUCCAGCUGCUAAGCCAGAUUCGCAGGAUGUCAAGGGUAGGUAAGGUUCUUCGCGUUGCAUCGAAUUAAACCACAUGCUCCACCGCUUGUGCGGGCCCCCGUCAAUUCCUUUGAGUUUCAGUCUUGCGACCGUACUCCCCAGGCGGAAUGCUUAAAGCGUUAGCGACGGCACCCGGGGACUUUAUAACCCCAGACACCAAGCAUUCAUCGUUUAAGGCUAGGACUA